UGUGUAGGCGGUUGUUUAAGUUUGGUGUGAAAUCUCCCGGCUCAACUGGGAGGGUGCGCCGAAUACUGAAUGACUAGAGUGCGGGAGAGGAAAGUGGAAUUCCUGGUGUAGCGGUGAAAUGCGUAGAUAUCAGGAGGAACACCGGUGGUGUAGACGGCUUUCUGGACCGUAACUGACGCUGAAACACGAAAGCGUGGGUAGCAAACAGGAUUAGAUACCCUGGUAGUCCACGCCCUAAACGAUGCAUAUUUGGUGUGGGCAGUUCAUUCUGUCCGUGCCGGAGCUAACGCGUUAAAUAUGCCGCCUGGGGAGUACAGUCGCAAGGCUAGAA
rnacentral:rRNA from 1 species